GACGAACCGUGCAAACGUUAUUCGGAAUCACUGGGCUUAAAGGGCGCGUAGGCGGGCGGUCAAGUCAAGGGUGAAAGCCUCCAGCCCAACUGGAGAAGCGCCUUUGAUACUGGCCAUCUUGAGGGGUGCAGGGGCAUGCGGAACCUAGGGUGGAGCGGUGAAAUGCGUAGAUAUCCUAGGGAACACCGGUGGCGAAAGCGGCGUGCUGGACAACCUUCUGACGCUGGAGGCGCGAAAGCCAGGGGAGCGAACGGG
rnacentral:rRNA from 1 species